GCCGCUUUAGCUCAGUUGGUAGAGCAACUGAUUUGUAAUCAGUGGGUCGGGAGUUCAAAUCUCUCAAGCGGCACCA
rnacentral:tRNA from 2 species